rnacentral:rRNA from 1 species
AUGACGUUCGGAGGAAUCUUUGGCUUGCCCGGCUACAUCCUGUUCGGGGACAAGGAGCAGGAGCGAAAGCUGCGGAAGCGAAAGAAAAAGCUGCAGCGAGAGCGUAAGCUGCGGCUGCAGCAAGAGCGAAAGCUGCGGCAGCGAGAGCAGGAGCUGCAGUGGCUGCUGCUACGGCAACAACCCCGGCAGCCGCGGGGGACGAAGGUGUUCUCUAAAGAAUCACUGGCAGUCGCUCGUUCGAGCAACUCAGUGGCAGUCCCUCGUGGGUACGAGCGACAGGGGGCGCAUGGGUUCUCUAGGGACUAUUUGCCGGCCUCAGUGGCAGUCCCUCGUGAUCGUGGGUACGGGCAACUUGGGGGGCAGGGGCAGGGGUUCUCUAGUGACUCACUGGCAGUCGCUCGCUCGGGCAACUCAUCGGCAGUCCCUCGUGGGUACGGGCCACAGGAUGCACAUAAGUUCUUACUGGCAGGCCAUCGUGGGUACGAGGAGGAGGACUUCAGCGCCUCCGACGAUGAGGACGACGACGAGGACGACGAUGAUGAGGAUGACGAGGAUGCCUUCGAAGAAGACGACGAGGACGAAGAUGAUGAGAAUGACGAGGAGGUGGAGGAAGGGGAGCACCGCCGGUUGAUGCUGCUGACGCUCCAGCAAGGGGGGCAAGGGGUCCCACGCGUACACCCAGGGGGGAGACUUGAGUGGCUCUGA